GUUGCCCAACGUAAAACUACGAUU
rnacentral:snRNA from 1 species